rnacentral:tRNA from 1 species
GGGGAUUUGUUAAGUUGCCGCUGCUAACGGUAAUUGGAACAUUAGAUUGUGUUCGGUCCUCU